rnacentral:rRNA from 1 species
CGCUUGAGGGGGGCCUGCGGAGGGAUCAUUACACAACAAAAAUAUGAGGGUGUGGUUUGCUGGCAACAGCGUCCGCCCCAAGUAUUUUUCACCCAUGUCUUUUGCGCACUUUUUGUUUCCUGGGCGAGUUCGCUCGCCACCAGGACCCAACCAUAAACCUUUUUUUAUGCAGUUGCAAUCAGCGUCAGUAUAAUAAUUCAAUUUAUUAAAACUUUCAACAACGGAUCUCUUGGUUCUGGCAUCGAUGAAGAACGCAGCGAAAUGCGAUACGUAGUGUGAAUUGCAGAAUUCAGUGAAUCAUCGAAUCUUUGAACGCACAUUGCGCCCUUUGGUAUUCCAAAGGGCAUGCCUGUUCGAGCGUCAUUUGUACCCUCAAGCUUUGCUUGGUGUUGGGCGUCUUUUUGUCUCUCCCCUUGUUGGGGGAGACUCGCCUUAAAACGAUUGGCAGCCGACCUACUGGUUUUCGGAGCGCAGCACAAAUUUGCGCCUUCCAAUCCACGGGGCGGCAUCCAGCAAGCCUUUGUUUUCUAUAACAAAUCCACAUUUUGACCUCGGAUCAGGUAGGGAUACCCGCUGAACUUAAGCAUAUCAAAAA